UCCCUGGUGGUCCAGUGGGUAAGACUCUGUACUGCUAAUGCAGGGGUCCCGGGUUUGAUCCCUGGUCGGGGAA